UCGUACGAGAGUUUUUAACUCAAGUGGCGGACGGGUGAGUAACACGUAAGAAUUUGCCUCUAGGAGGGGGACAACAACUGGAAACGGCUGCUAAUACCCCAUAUGCUUUCGAGUGAAAUGGAUUUUUCCGCCUAGAGAGAAGCUUGCGGCUGAUUAGCUUGUUGGUGAGGUAAUGGCUCACCAAGGCGACGAUCAGUAUCUGGUUUGAGAGGACGAUCAGACACACUGGAACUGAGACACGGUCCAGACUCCUACGGGAGGCAGCAGUGGGGAAUUUUCCGCAAUGGGCGAAAGCCUGACGGAGCAAUACCGCGUGAGGGAUGACGGCCUAUGGGUUGUAAACCUCUUUUUUCAGGGAGGAAUCAAAUGACGUGUACCUGAAGAAUAAGCAUCGGCUAACUCCGUGCCAGCAGCCGCGGUAAGACGGAGGAUGCAAGUGUUAUCCGGAAUCACUGGGCGUAAAGCGUCUGUAGGUGGUCCAAUAAGUCAACUGUUAAAUCUUGAGGCUCAACCUCAAAAUCGCAGUCGAAACUAUUAGACUAGAGUAUAGUAGGGGUAAAGGGAAUCUCCAGUGGAGCGGUGAAAUGCGUAGAGAUUGGAAAGAACACCGAUGGCGAAGGCACUUUACUGGGCUAUUACUAACACUCAGAGACGAAAGCUAGGGUAGCAAAUGGGAUUAGAUACCCCAGUAGUCCUAGCCGUAAACAA
rnacentral:rRNA from 1 species